GACGAACGCUGGCGGCGUGCCUAACACAUGCAAGUCGAGCGGAGUUGACAAGAGGAAGUUUUCGGAUGGAAUCUUGUCAAUUUAGCGGCGGACGGGUGAGUAACGCGUGAGCGACCAACCUUGCACAGGGGGAUAACGGACCGAAAGGUUCACUAAUACCGCAUGAGACCACGGUGUUGCAUGACACAGAGGUCAAAGGAGCAAUCCGGUGCAAGACGGGCUCGCGUCCGAUUAGGUAGUUGGAGGGGUAACGGCCCACCAAGCCUAUGAUCGGUAGCCGACCUGAGAGGGUGAUCGGCCACAUUGGAACUGAGAUACGGUCCAAACUCCUACGGGAGGCAGCAGUGGGGAAUAUUGGGCAAUGGGGGAAACCCUGACCCAGCAACGCCGCGUGAAGGAAGAAGGUUUUCGGAUUGUAAACUUCUGUCCUUGGUGAAGAGAAGAAGACGGUAGCCAAGGAGGAAGCCCCGGCUAACUACGUGCCAGCAGCCGCGGUAAGUAGUA
rnacentral:rRNA from 1 species